GGAGGACUGGGUGGACAUUACAUGGGAACCAGCCAAAAUUAAACACACAUUCCAGGCAGAUGGUGUGAGCUGUGGUGUAAAUAGUGAAAAAACAUUUUUUACAUGAAAAUAUUGGACUUUCCCAUAAAGGUUGUUUUGUCUAUAUAUAUAUUACUGCUGUCACCCCAGAUGGACAAGCUUGUGGUGGAGAAAUUUCCACAAAUCCCUGAGGCUAUGAACAUAUCCCCUACCACAGACUGGAUAUGUCAUUGCCAAGAAAAAUGGCAGAAGAAAUUCUACAGGCAUCAGUGUCAAGAGAGAAAUAUUGCUCAGUAUGUGGAAAAGAAGAGCAUCACCAAGUGGAAGAGUACUGUAUAUGGGUUCAGUGCGAGAAAUACAACAGAUGGAUUCAUGAGAAAUGCCUCAAUGCUACACUUCCACAUAAAGACCAACUAUGAUUUUGUGAAUUGUGUUUAAGUUAAACUAAAUAUUCAGUUUCUCGGAGCUGUA
ensembl:lncRNA